rnacentral:rRNA from 1 species
UACGGAGGGGGCUAGCGUUGUUCGGAAUUACUGGGCGUAAAGCGCACGUAGGCGGCUUUGUAAGUUAGAGGUGAAAGCCCGGGGCUCAACUCCGGAAUUGCCUUUAAGACUGCAUCGCUCGAAUUGUGGAGAGGUAAGUGGAAAUUCCGAGUGUAGAGGUGAAAUUCGUAGAUAUUCGGAAGAACACCAGUGGCGAAGGCGACUUACUGGACACAUAUUGACGCUGAGGUGCGAAAGCGUGGGAGCAAACAGG